rnacentral:sRNA from 1 species
AUGUGCCACGCGUACAACUCCGAUUCUGCGCGCCGUCCGCACCCACCUGGCGACCGCUCGCUACGUGUUGGGUGCC